UCGUACAGGUCUCCGUAGGUGAACCUGCGGAGGGAUCAUUACACAAUACAAUAUGAAGGCCGUACGCGGCUGGAUUAUUUUAUUACCCUUGUCUUUUGCGCACUUGUUGUUUCCUGGGCGGGUUCGCCCGCCACCAGGACCACACCAUAAACCUUUUUUAUGCAGUUGCAAUCAGCGUCAGUACAACAAAUGUAAAUCAUUUACAACUUUCAACAACGGAUCUCUUGGUUCUGGCAUCGAUGAAGAACGCAGCGAAAUGCGAUACGUAGUGUGAAUUGCAGAAUUCAGUGAAUCAUCGAAUCUUUGAACGCACAUUGCGCCCUUUGGUAUUCCAAAGGGCAUGCCUGUUCGAGCGUCAUUUGUACCCUCAAGCUUUGCUUGGUGUUGGGCGUUUUUUGUCUUUGGUUGCCAAAGACUCGCCUUAAAACGAUUGGCAGCCGGCCUCCUGGUUUCGCAGCGCAGCACAUUUUUGCGCUUGCAAUCAGCAACAGAGGGCGGCACUCCAUCAAGACUCCAUUUUCACGUUUGACCUCGGAUCAGGUAGGGAUACCCGCUGAACUUAAGC
rnacentral:rRNA from 1 species